AAGGAGUCUAACAUGUAUGCGAGUAGGUGGGUGUAAAACCUUACUGCUAAAUGAAAGUAAUUGCUGGGAUCCCCAGCGAGCACCAUCGUCCGCUCAUGUGCCACUUGUGACAUAGAUUUGAGUUAGAGCAUAUAUGUUAGGACCCGAAAGAUGGUGAACUAUGCCUGAGUAGGUCGAAGCCAGGGGAAACUCUGGUGGAGGCUCGAAGCGAUUCUAACGUGCAAAUUGAUCGUCAAAUUUGGGUAUAGGGGCGAAAGACUAAUCGAACCAUCUAGUAGCUGGUUCCCUC
rnacentral:misc_RNA from 1 species